CUUUUUGUGCAUAAUGUAUAUAUAGGGGACCCCUGGGGUUGGCAGCCCUGGUGGCCGAUGAGUGGGUAUGAUGGCUAUCCGACACGAGGCCACCCAUCUCGACUAAGUUGCCUAGAAAAAUAGCCCGGAGCGUGGCUUGUUGCCCAUGGUGGUUUUGGGACUUGCUGUGCGGGAGACAUGGUGAUGCGGUGCGCGGAAAUGACGGGGACCCUUUUCGAUGAUACUUGUGGCGUUGUGGGCCUCGCAAAUAUGAGGCAUGUCGGUAAUGUCUGCUGUUAUUCUCUCGCAUCGUUCGGUGCAUCCUGGGAGCUGUUGGGACUUUUGGUUGCUUCUUGGCUUGAAUGCCUUGUGGGUGGCUAAUUGUUAGGCGGUUUUCGGGGAUGACUAUCGUAAAGGUGCAUGAGUGGUGCUUGGUUUGUUACCGGUGGUUGGCUCUCUGCUUUUGCGACAACUUCCACCUGGCAUUCCUCUUCGGUUUUGCGUCAAGAAAGCAUUUCCUUGACCGCUUAUGGUUUCCUGUGUUGCCUACCUACGUGACGGUAUCGUUUGAUUAAAUCAAAGUCAUGUUUCAUCGUGUGUCAUUAGUAUGGCGUUGGAUGAACCUCAAAGCAAUUUCUAUGUUCCACUUUGUUGUUAAAAAUGCGUCUAUUUUGUGGCUCAUUGAGUUUUGCUUGGUUUUCUGGAUGCGGAACAUGAUAUGGGUGUGGUCGCUCGCGAUCCUCUUUUUGCCCUUCGUUGAACGUUGUUAUUACUUUGAGAUGAUUGCCUAUCCCGAAUUGGCUCGUACCACCGGGGUUGGUUAGGUUGUUGAUGAGUAAUACUAGCGUUCUUGCUUCUCUAAAACAGACGGCAUCGCCUUGAUUGGCUUGUACCAACAGGCGGGCUACGUCAAAAAGGGAUGC
rnacentral:misc_RNA from 1 species